rnacentral:rRNA from 1 species
GGGCAAAUGGAGUUGAGUUAGAAAAUAGAUUAAAGAUUUUGAGAUUUGAGUUGAUUUUAUGAGAUAUGGGGGUGAAAUCUAGGAAUUGAAUUUAAUGUUAGCUCAGGUAAUUAAUAGAACUUAUGUCAAAAAAAUCGAGGUAUAGAAUGGGAUUAGAGACCCCAGCAUUCUCUAACUAAAGAUAGUUCAUUAUUUCUUGAGUAGUAAACAGAUAUGAGCUCGAAACUCAAAGGAUUUGGCGGUGUUUAAGUCCAGUCAGAGGAACCUGUGCUAUAAACGAUAAACCACGAGAAUCUUACUUUUCUUUGUAAAUUCAGUUUGUAUACCUCCAUUAUUAGGUAAUCUUAAAAGAGAGCUAUCGAAAUAAGUGAAUACUUAGUAUAUUAGGUCAAGGUGCAGCUAAUGGGAAAGGAGGUCAUGGGUUACAAUAAAAUCUGAUUUUAUAUGAAAGAGAGGCAGUAAGGCUUCUAUGAAGGUGGAUUUGAAAGUAAGCUGUAAUGUAUAUUUAGCGGGGCUGAUAAAGGCUCUUAGACAUGUACACAUCGCCCGUCGUUCUCGCUUA